GACGAACGCUGGCGGCGCGCCUAACACAUGCAAGUCGAACGGAGUCAAGAGGAGCUUGCUUUUCUUGACUUAGUGGCGAACGGGUGAGUAACGCGUGAGUAACCUGCCCUGGAGUGGGGGACAACAGUUGGAAACGACUGCUGAUACCGCAUAAGCCCACGGAUCCGCAUGGAUCUGCGGGAAAAGGAUUUAUUCGCUUCAGGAUGGACUCGCGUCCAAUUAGCUAGUUGGUGAGGUAACGGCCCACCAAGGCGACGAUUGGUAGCCGGACUGAGAGGUUGAACGGCCACAUUGGGACUGAGACACGGCCCAGACUCCUACGGGAGGCAGCAGUGGGGGAUAUUGCACAAUGGGGGAAACCCUGAUGCAGCGACGCCGCGUGGAGGAAGAAGGUUUUCGGAUUGUAAACUCCUGUCGUUAGGGACGAUAAUGACGGUACCUAACAAGAAAGCACCGGCUAACUACGUG
rnacentral:rRNA from 1 species